rnacentral:sRNA from 1 species
UAAACGCAUUGGCGAUGUCGAGCGACACC